rnacentral:rRNA from 1 species
AGCAGCCGCGGUAAUUCCAGCUCCAAUAGCGUAUAUUAAAGUUGUUGCAGUUAAAAGCUCGUAGUUGAAUUUCGGGGUCAGUAGAUUGGUCGUGCCACAGGUAUGUACUGGUCUUACUGGCUCCUCCUUCCUGAUGAACCGUAAUGCCAUUAAUUUGGUGUUGCGGGGAAACAGGACUGUUACUUUGAAAAAAUUAGAGUGUUUAAAGCAGGCAAUCGCUUGAAUACAUUAGCAUGGAAUAAUGAAAUAGGACGUUCGAUCCUAUUUUGUUGGUUUCUAGGAUUGACGUAAUGAUUAAUAGGGAUAGUUGGGGGCAUUAGUAUUCAAUUGUCAGAGGUGAAAUUCUUGGAUUUAUUGAAGACUAACUACUGCGAAAGCAUUUGCCAAGGAUGUUUUCAUUAAUCAAGAACGAAAGUUAGGGGAUCGAAGACGAUCAGAUACCGUCGUAGUCUUAACCAUAAACUAUGCCGACUAGGGAUCGGAUGAUGUAAUUUUUAAUGACUCAUUCGCGCCUUAAC